GCCAGGUGGGGGCACCCUUUCUAACUAUGCAAGUUGGUUAUUGAAAUGUAAAACCUAAUUUCUGUAUAAGCCAUACUAUACACGGUAUGAACUGUGAAGUAUUGUUUUAAUGUCCAGAGCAAAGUUAGAUUGGGUGUGUACGAUAGCUAUUCUCAAAAGACGACCAUUUUAAGCUUGUGGUCGAAUAUUUUGUCAUAUCCCAUCUGGCAACACCGCACCUCAUCAGCACAUAAUUCAGAAAAGGAUCAUUUUGCAGUAUUGCUGCAGCUCACUCGCUGUCAGCUCCUGUGGACGAGAUGCCAAUGGCCAGGAAGCGGAGGUGCAACCAGACGUGUCCUGCUCAACUUCUUUGGCCUGGAUAUUCAGGCCAAGAGCAUGACUGUAGGACGGAGGGCACACCUGACACAAGAGGCAGGCUGGAGGUUCGCUGGCGCUGAUCAAGCAACACAUGACAGCACCAUCACCAUCAAAUCACAGCAGAAGAGAUGGUGAGGGUGAAAAAUUAGUUGCUUUAGAAAGGACCAACCUGUGCUCCUCUUUUUCUGAGGAUGAAGAAAAUGAGGACGAUGUCAACCUCUGCAUCCUGGUAAGUUUGGAUCGUUGGCGCCGGCUGGUUGUAGCCACAGGGAGUUCUGGGUAAUCUUCCCUUGUAAGGCCUACAACUGAAUCAUCUUCUAUUGUAGCUUGAAGUAUCUCUAAUGCUUCCUCCCUGGAGGCGAGUUCUAGUCCACUUCCUGUAGGUUCUGCUUGAGCUUGUUCACCUGAUCCUGGGCUCUCAUCUUCAUCUGUAUCCAUACUUAGAGCCUCCUCUUGCUCACACUGUCCUUUCCCUGUUGUAUAUCCCACUUCCUCAUGGUCUAAUCCCGAUUCUCUGGAAUUUCUUAUCAUCUGUUCUUGGUAGUAGACAUGGAUGGCCUCUCUGGAUGGCACUUGACCCUGAGGAAACAAGCGGGAGACAAUCCACGACCAAACAUAAGCUGUGCUGCUAUAUAUAUAUUUUUUUUAUCAGCAUCGUCAUUGAGCCCUACCUGCUUGGCCUGCUGGGUCAGCAUGCAGCGCUCCAUUCGGAGGACGGUGGAAAUGUCGACGUGUUCUCGACACAAACCACAGAGCCAAGAGGUCAACGAGUCCAGCAGAGCUGACAACAGAACCCAGCAAAAGCGAAGAAUGCUGGAGACCCGAUGUAGGAUGGUAUCUCAAAAGUGAAAGAUGACUUGAGGUCAGUUUUUGGUGCAUUUUCAAUAGCAUAUACAGAAAGACAUUGCUGAGCUUCUCCCUGUACCUGGUCCAUCCUCCUUGUCUUCAUCUCCGUCCUCCUCCGACUCCUCCAUCACUUCAGUAGAUCCAUAUGCUAAAGUCACAACUGUAUGAUGAAAUAGCAAAGAAGAUGCACUGCUGCAUAGUAAAAUACAUUCAAGUUCUUCCUCACUUGCUGUCUUUUCUCCCCUCCGUUCUUCACUCGAGUUCUUCUUCCACAGUUUCUUUUGACUGUGACGAGCUCUCAAUGCUGUUCUGGAGUCAGUUAUCCAGGCGUGAUAGACAAACUGAACCACCACAAGUUAGACAUUUUGUGACACUCAGCAGACACCAUUAAAAAAAUGGUCACCUACCUGGAAAGCGGACUUCUCAGGAUGUUUCUCUUCCUCCUCCACCUGCUCCCUUUUAUCCUCUUCCUCCUCCUCACUGUCGCUCUCAAACAGAAAGUAGUCGCCACUCCUUACCACUGCAGGACACACAGCAUUAAAAGUAAAUUUGCGAGAAGUGCAGUGGUAACUUUUAAGGAUCAUUUGACUCACUGGAGGCAUGGUUCACCCAGGGUCUCCACCAAUCGCCAUGAUGCCGCCCUUUUGACUUUUCAUGUGCUGAAUGUUAAAACAACAAAACAUUUGGUGCUUGUUUGGCUUGUUACCAAGGCAAUUAAGAAGCUUACACACCAUCACUAUGAAUGCUCUUUUGCGUCAAACUGAGCAUUUUCUCUUUUCCUCUGCGAAACUUCUGCUGGCGAGAUUUAAUCCUCUCCAUCCUGUGACAAAAACAAGUCACACACGUCAGGGUGUUUUCUUUCGACCGGGUUGGGGUGGUAGAGUGGAAAGAAGUCUUACUGUCUCUUCAGCAAGUCCAUGGACAUCUUCUCCACCUCCAGUCUCGCUCGUACCGCUUUCACAGUGGACGCUUCAAAAAGCUCUGCCCCUCUACAAAACAAAAGACUUAUUAAGCACCUGUAUUGUACGUGCAUACUGUACGUGUGUAUGUUACCUGGAGGCUAGCACUUGCGUGUUUUGCAGGUCCAGGACCACAUACAGGAAGUAGUGACUUCUAAAAACCCUUCGCUGCAGCAACAGGAAGCAGAAACACACACCAUCCCAGAUAAUCCCUGCCUCGUCGCUUGGCAGCUCACACUGCUUACUGCUCUGCUGCUCCGCUGGAGAGGCAACAUGUAAGUGAACAAAGGAGAAGACAACAAGGACAUCAUGACUGACUGACGAACGGUGUACAUACGUUUAGUGUAUCCUCGGAUGGUGCACGCCAGACUGAAGAGCUGGACCAGCCAACAGUGGUUCACAACCAGCGACUUGAUGAAACCGCAUGCCAGGAUCUGGAGCAGGUCAACAAACAGUCAUUCAGAAGUUUUUCAGAGCAAUCACCUUAAGACAAGAACAAGGUUUUCAGCACAUACAGAAAGGAUGUUCUUCAUGGUGAUGACAAAGAUAUUGUAGCCGAUCAGACAGUCCCAGUAAACCAGGAUGGAGCUGACAGGUUUCAGCAGCAAGUCUCCGCCCACCAAAAGGAAGUAAAAACAUGCCACCAGGUAACCCAUACAGAAGAUGCUGAUCCUGGAACAGGAAGUUAGAACAUGUAAUACUGAAACUUGGGCAUCUACAUGAACAAUAUGAUUUGCCUGAGAAGCUGGCCAGGACAAAAAAAAAAAAAAGUAAUACUGAAACUUCCUGAAUGUUUUGUACUAUCUUACCUUGUGGUCCCAGUGAUGAAGAUUAUAGUGAGGACAAACCAGAACAUGUAGCAGAAAAUAAUGAUCUUCAUCAUAUCGAGGUAGGACCUGUGAACGUAAGUCAGAUGUCAAACACACAUUCAAAGUGAAGACAGACAGAAACUGUCCAGUGCUUACCUGCACAGCAUGAAGUCAGGGACGGUGCUGAGACGAAGCCUCAUGACUGGAUCCCAGGCCUGUCCGUCUUCUGCGUCCAGCUCGCCGUUGUCCCCCGCCAGCGUCUGGACACCGGCAUCAAGUUCAUCCUCGAACACCUGAAGCUGCAGUGAGGCACCCAGCAGAAGCAGGAAGUCGUCUGGAUGACACAACAUUUUUUCCCCCGCAUUUAAGUCAAUCACGUUCCACUAUGGUGAGGAUGAAGAUAGUCUUACAGAGGAGGAAGAGUGGAUUUGGUGGAGUUAGAUGAUCUGGGAGGAAAAGCCAUUUUACUACGUUGGAGUCCAUGUUGGAUGUCGGUGGUCGCCAUGGAUAAUCUGAAAUAAAAUAGUUAUUUAUAAACAAAAUAUAGAAGCAAAAUCUUCUGGUUUGCUACAUAGUGGUGAGAUAAUACCUUUGCAGGCAGCAGGAGGGAAUCCAAUGCACAGCAGAUACUGGAAACAUAGUAGCGCUGACAGGAAGUAGCAGUACUUGGGCCACACUGCACUAAUCCGCUUCCUGCUGCGCCUUGAUAGGACGCUGAUGAGCCCAAAAGCGUGGCCGACAGCGAACAGAUCCAUUCGCUGACCAAUCACAUUAACUGCCAACAGAAAGCAAGUCUGAAAAGCAAAAGACAAGUCAUUUUUGAAGACUCUUUGACUUAGCUGCUAUGCCAAUAUUUACACACCUCCAGGCCAAACUUGUAAAAGAAGUAAUUGAGGAAAUAUUUGGAGCAGCUCAGCAUGUUUUCAUCUAAAUGACGCCUAGUGAUGUCAUGGAACAAUGUUCUUGUCAGAGGCGGAACUUUGUUGCAGCGGAGACGGUAGAGCUCCUGGUGUCUGUAAACCGUCACCUCAAAAGCUAACAGCGCGAGCAUCAUCAGGUUGUACUGUGAAGAAAAGUAAAAGUAAAAUCAAGCUAUCUGGUAAGCGCUUGUGUAAUGCCACUUCUCACCCUCAGGUAGUCGAGCAGUUUUCCCUCAGAUUUGCGAAGGCCAACCCACUGGGCGGGAUCAAUUGGACUGGAGUACAAUACCGAGCGAGAAAGAUUGGUAGAGGAGUUGCUUGGCUGGAGACAGACAGACAUGUCAGUACAACACUCAUUGAGACAAUCAAUGCCAUAGAAGAAGAGGUUACCGUGCUGCAGUUGCAGGUGUUGGGCUGGACAACGUUGAGCUGGUACAACAUCUUACAAACUGCCACCACACAGGUCCACACUGUACACAUCCCCGACAACAGGGGGCGCCAGGCCCUGCAGGGAAGAGCCACUCCCACACACACCACAAACAGUAGGUUGAACAUACACACCUGGGGACGGAUCAUGAGAGGCAGGUCAGAGAAAGGCACACAGUACAUGAGACUUUUGAAAAGAUCAAGAACCUCUUUCACUGAGAUCCAAAUCAUGUAGGAGGAGACGAUUUUGACAAUAUGAAGUUCCAGCAGCCACCAGAGGAGGCGCUGCAAACGCUGCAGAGACAGAAGGAGGCGCAGGAACAAGACAGACAGUCGAUCGACUACCAACCUCCAGGACACCAACACUGAGGAGAGACCAGGUGUAAAUUAGCAGUUCUUGUCCAUUUACUAUUUUCUUAGCCAGCAUGCCUGUGAUGUGGUCAGACAAGGUGUCCUCCUCAAACAUAGAGGGGUACUUUUUUUCCUCUUCUUCUGGUUUCUGCUUCUCCUCAAUCUCUUCUUCCUCUUUUUCUAUCAGGAUUCCUCCUUCAUCCUCCUCUAGAGGGAGCUGAGAAGCACCUCCCACUGACAGAUCCACAAGGCUGCCCUCACUGUGAACCAACCUGAAUCCAAACUCAGCAGUUGAAAUAUUUUAUUUUAUAACGCAGGUGACAUACCACUGAUGGUUGAGGUUUGCGUGCUACCUGGUAAUGGUGCUGUUGUGCGUGUCUACCACUGUUUUGAGGUCAGUCAGCAGGAGAAAGGGCUUGUGGAAGUAGUGCAGGUGUACGAUGCACACCUUUCAGAAAAUCGAACAGUUUUAGCAUUAGCUUUAGCAUUAGUGCAGUCUAGUAAUGUUUGUCAAUCAGUACCAGUAGAAACGCUGUGGGAAUGAAAAUCCUGGUGAAUAGAACUGGAACGGAGAAUUUCUCCAAACCCAAAUCCUCCAAUCUGCAAGGACAGAAAACAAGAUAAAUUACAGACAGGUCCUACAAAGUACUGCUUCUUGCCUAAUGACUUGCACGAACCUGUGAGUGCUGAGUCCAGUGUAGUAGCUCCAGGUGUGAAGGGACGAGGGGAACUGGAAAGUGUAGACUAGAAUGAGAACCAACAUGGAGUACACCACUACGGCUACCCAGAAGCCUCGCAACAAGGCCCGCCAUUUUUCAUAGUUCAGCUACAGAGACAAAGAGAACAAACAGAAUUAGAUCUGUGUUUUAAAUAUUCAAACCAUCAGAAGUGGUACCUGGUAGAGGGCAACACAGCACAGAAACAUCACCAUGUAGAUGACCUUAUAGAGGACGAUUUUGCCUUCAAAACUGACAAAGAAAAACAUUGUUCCACAGACAUAGAUCCAGUAUUUGACAAACAUCCUGGUCACAACGGCUACAAGGGCCUCCAUCUGAACUCCUCCGCUCAACAGAAGCAGCUUCUCAUAGGAAAUCUCUUGUAUCUUCUCUUGCUCUGCCUUCUGAUCAUCUGGAGGCCAAGACGCGGGAAGAUAGAUCAGCAGAGAGGCCAUCAAAAAACAGACAGGUAGGUGUGUUACCUUUGAUAUGGAUGGUUAUGGCAGACAGCUGCGACUGCGUCUCUGUGUCUUUCUGUCUUUCUUUCUUCUCUGUAAGUGCUUGACGCAGCAGCAGCCAGAACGUCAACAAACACAUCAGCUGCAACAAUGAGAUCAGAUCUAAGUACAGCGUCUGGCCAAUACCAAGUACUCAAGUGUGCGUUCGAGUCUCCUGACCUUGGAGGCAAGCUCUCUGCAGGGAUCGUCUUUUUUCGGGAAUAGUCCAGGGACUUCACGGACAGCAGCAAAGCUGUGGAUGUACUGCAGGAUCAGAAGCAGGUUGCCAUAGGCGACCAGCCAUGGUGAAGACAUGAGAGUAUAGCGGCGGCGCUCACGCAUCAUCCAGAGCGCACAUGACCAGAUGAGCAGCACACACGUCAUCCACGACACAUAUGUGAUGGACCAUGCCAUCAUGGCAAUCAAAGCGCCGAUAUAACUCUGCUUGAGCAGGAAGCCGAAGGCCAUGGAAGCCACACCCGCACCCGGUGCUUCUGCCACCUCUCCCCAUGCGUCAGCAUCUGCUUCAAAGGCACAGGUUUCCAAAGUGUCUGUGACAUGGAGCAGAAGGGAAGUGUCAAUUUUAGCGUUCACUGUAAAACACCUUGACUGCAGUUAGAACAUGCGCUCACCUGAUUGGCUAAGGGAGUAGUGAGGUGUGUCCAACUCAAGGGCUGUGCUUUGUGUGGGCUGGGCCAAAGACUCAGAGGGACUGUCGUAAGUGGAAGUAUCCAAAACCUGAAAAAGUGACAACAAUUUAUUUACAAAGACACCUAAGACAAGUCUAAAUCAGGUUAAUAAUGUCCAAACUUUACAUCUUUGUAGCCCCGCCCAUCAUGAGCUUCCCUCCACAGCUCUCUACGCCUCUCCGCUGUGAUAUCACUGCUGACCUCAUCACUGAUAAAGCUUGUGGCAGUUAGGAUGUCACAACUACCGGGAUCCGCUGAUUCCGUCUUGUCUGCACUCUGUGCCCUUUUCCCAGCAAUCAACUGAAGAAUGACACCAAAUAUUAUGUUUACCGUAAGAACCAUGUGAUGCUUCUCAGUCAAUAAGGACUAGGUGUAAUAAAACCCAGAGUGGUAAGGACAUCACCUGGUUCCUCCAGAGACUGGCGACCGUGUGGAAGAGCAGCAACAACAUCAGAGGACUGACAAAAUGAAACCAGCUAAGCUCUGGGUUCACUUGCAUUCUCCAGGGGGCGGCGCAGUCCACCGACACCAGAGGCAGCAUGCCAAACACACUGCAGGAUAAUCAUCAUCAAUAAUUCAUUAUUAGCAUCAAUAAUAAGAACAUCGUCUGAACUGAAAAGGGCGAGGAGAAAGAAGAUUUGGUGAAGGUCAGCUCCUCAUCCCUUGGGUUUGUCUACUCUCGUUACCUUGCGGAGGUGUGGUUGGGAAGCCACGCCUCCUGCAGUGAUGGCAGCUGGUAGGAGUACACAAGCAAGAAGUGGCAGGAAGAGUAGACCAGUGACAUCACGGACAAACACCUGAAGAUGAGGGGUGGGACCCAACCAGACCUUGCCCACCAGGUACAAACCACUUGGAAACACAGCAGGUAGGGGAGGGAGGAAAGGGACGGUAGCACGAUGCCUGGAAUAGUGGGAGAAGGAUGGGGUGUGAAAGAGAAUGGUUCUACGUCAGCGUCUUAUUGGUUCUGUGUUAAUGUCUCACUGGUCUACAUUCGUUACUCACUGGUACUACUGAUUUUAGUGUCAGUGUCACUGGUUCAGCAUUGUGUCUGAUUAGUUAUAUGCCAGUGAUUUACUAAUCCUUACAGUUCUAAAUCAGAGUCUAACUAACUGGUUCUGUGUUAGUCCCUCAUCCGUGAUUCUACUGACUACAGGUUCUAAGUCACUGUGUCACUGGACUAAGUCAGUGACUUAAAGAUUCUACUGGUUCAAUUUAAGUGCCCUGUGGGUUCUGCGGGUUUUAUGGCACUGUUGCAUGGGUUCUGCAGGUUUGUCGGUGUUUUAUGGGUUGUGAUGCUUCUAACAAGCGAUCUCAAUGGUUCUACGGAAUCUAUACGAGUAUCUCACUGGUUCCACUGCAUUUAUGUCAGUGUGUAAUGGACUUUACUGGUUCUAACGGACUAUCUCACUGUUUGCACGGAAUCUAAGUGAUUAUCUUACUGGUACCACUGAUUUUAUGUCAGUGUUUCACAGGGUUCUACUGGUUCUAACUGACUAUUUCACUGGUUCUAUGGAUUCAAUAUGAGUAUCUCACUAGUUGCACUGCUUUUAUGUCAGUGUCUCAUGGGUUCUACUGGUUCUCACGGAGUAUCCCAUUGGUUCUGUGUGAGUCCCUUUGUGGUUUCACUGGUUUUGUGUCAGCGUAUCAUGAGUUGUACUGGUUCAAAGUCAGUGUCUCAAUGGCCAUACUGGUGUUACCUGUGAGUCCAAGCAAAACUGUGAGCAGAACUUUCCCUCCAGUGGUCAUCAUGUUUGCGAGCAUUAGCCUAGUUUUGCAGACCAAUACUUCCAGUUCAGCCAGAAUGCGGUUCCUUUUGGUUCCCUCUUCUUCCUCUUGAAAAACCUGAUCAUCCUGAGGUCCGUGCUGCUGGGGACACAGAAAAUUAGGGUUCUUGAAUGAUCAACAACAAAUUGGAUCGAAGUUAGUGAGAAGCAUGAUUUUGAUAUCAGUUGAUCACGUGGUUGAUUUUUGUCAGUUAAAUGUCCUUUUUAAGGUUCUACAACAAAAUGAAUGAUGACUGGACUCAUGUUAAGUGACUCCAAGAGGACGACAUAUUGAGCCAGAAACCUGAUCACUAUUCUCUAUGUGUCACCUAACAAGGUUACCUUUAAUAAAUUGCUUACAGAGUUACACAAUAAUAGACAAGAAACCUCAUUAAGAAAUGAGAAGAGACGACUUACAAGGUUAUAUACCCGUUUCAGUCGUGUCUGUGUGUGUUUGUGUGUCGGCGUGUGUGUGUGUGUGUGAGAGAGAGAGAGAGAGACCUGCAUGUGUGUUUCAGGGGUCAAUCUCAGGCUCAGCCUCCAUGUCACCAGGCCGACAACCAGCACGCCAACAUCUGGAAGGAUGUGUCGCACAGCGGAGGCCACAUCACUUCCUCCAUACUGAUCGAUUACCUGCGCCCUGGGACGUGCUGGGUUCCGGCAGCAGGGGCAGCAGGAGCAACAGGAGGACGUAAACCAGCGAGAAGCCGUUAAAACGCAGCAAAGCAGCUGUGAAGACAUGAUGACCAACAGAAAGUGUCUGUCAUUAGAAAACACCAAGGAAGAGUGUGUCGCCUUGUUUUGCUUCCCAUAGCUCCCACCCCCACUUUCUCAGUACCAAAACAACCAACCUGCGGUCAAGCUGAGGGGCAGCAGGACCCUAAAGAGAAGACCCACCACCAAUGGACCGCAGGACAUCCUGGAUCCAGUUCUUGCAGCAGGCCCGUCCUGCUUGUUUUGGUUCUGGUUCUGGUUCAGUCCCCCAAGAAGAGGCGGACUGUCAGAGGUCUUGGUGGCCGCCGGCCGAACAAGGAGUCCGCCUGAAGGCGACCACACACCCCGGUGUCAUCCUCCACAGACACACGCAAUGAGUCACACCGACCCAAUGUCUGACCCGCUUUUAAAGGUCCAAGUGCGUCCGUCCAUCAACAUCCAAAAACUGCACCCUGGUCAAGUCCACUUCAGCCAGACGACAUCCUUUUGCUCUUUGAACGGUUGCGGUGUUAUGGAGAAACUCACCUGCAUACUACACCCCCACCCCAGUGCCCCGCCUCAUUAGUGCAAUGGUUGCUUGUCUUAGGGGGAUUUCAAUGUUUUCCUUCUUGUGUCUCUUUGGCAACCAGACAACACACCUUGUUCUUCUUUUAGAUCAAAAGCCAAAUAAAGCCAUUUGGAGAUUGGACUGUUUGUCUCACUACAGGACAAAAUGAUCACUGACCACCUUGGGAAAAAAAUGGUCCAUGGACUGUUUCUUCCAGGCUGUCCUACAAUUCACAGAUACUGUCAAACUCGUCCCAUUGAUGUAAAACACUACUAAACUUAUUUAGGUUCUGGAACGGUUUGUCAUCCAGGACCAUUGGGCCAGGUAUUCUGGUGUAGUGUGUUAUAGAAUAUCCCUAGGAGUGUUACCGUAGUUACUGAAGCAAGGUGCACCAAUAAAUAGAUGAAUCGGCCCAAUAUUCAUAGGCCAACAGGAAAACUCCCAGUACACCCGUGUAGUACGGGUAGUAAUGCUUGAGUUACAUUUACUUUUUGGAUGAAUUGUACUUGUUAGAGUAGUUUUAACGCAACAUACUUUUUACAUAUAUUUGUGAAGAAACACUACUUUUACUUAAAUCACAUUAAGUUCCAUUACAAUCACUAUAUUUAUAAUCUAUUGAUUGCUACUUGCGUAGACAAGUUGUUUGGCUCGUUAAAGAGACUUCUUACAAGAGGUAUGGUCAUAUGAAUGUUUCACCAAUCUAACAUGGGCACUAUGGGAUAGAACUUUGUUCUCAUUGCACUUAAAAAGUACAGCGAAAAACUUUAAUCAGUACAAACUCGUCCAAGAACAUACAGUAUUCAGGGAACAGGAAAACUGAUGGAUCGCUACUAGGGCAGUGCUCCAUAAAAAAGAAAGGAAAAAAGGUAAACAUGGGGUAGGAGAAGAAAAGCAAAUCCCAAACUAAGCUCUUAUUGGUGGUGGCGCUUAGUUUGAGACCAGCAAAAAUAUUUGACUCCAUCUCACCAAACGGAGCCUGAUCGUCACAUGCCCGCACGACCGUCACCCCCUUUUUAAAAAAUGUUUACUUACAAACUAAAUAAAUCAGAAGUUACUCUACAGUUAAUUAGAACUUGAGUAGUUUUUUCACUGAAUACCUACUGAAGUAAUUGUUUACAAUUUUUGGCUACUUUACCCACCUCUGAAUAGUACAUAUUGCAGCCUUGUCAUCAGCUAGUGAGUUACCAUGGUUACAGACGACUUACACCAGACUUGGGCAUUCUGCGGCCCGCGGGCCACAUCCGGCCCUUUGUGUGUCCCUGUCCGGCCCGCGUGAGGCCAAUCAUAAAUUACUAAAUACAUUUGAAAAAGUAUCUAUGUCGAGUGUGCAAUACAACGGUGCUGCUUUUGUUUUGAAAAGCGUUAUUUGUAUUACUUCCGUGUGGACUUAUGCACAUGCUGAUUGUGAGUGAAUGUGAACAGCUGCAAUCACAAAUUACAAAAUAAAGUUUAAAAAACAUCUAUGUGGUGCGCGCAAUACAACUGUGCUGCUUUUAUUUUGAAAAGUGUUAUUCAUGGGUGUAUGUCCGAGUGUAACCUGUGAGUGAAGGUGCACAGCGACAAGUGAUGCACGGUUUACCCCCGAGACGCUAAAAAGAGAAAAGUUGAUGACGAAUGCCGUGUUUUCAACAAGACAUGGACUGCCAAGCAACGUUUCCUCAAAAGUGCGCGCCUGCGCAAUUGCGCACCACUCAUGCAUCCUCUGCGCACAGCAAAUUAAUGCCGCGCAGGAAAUCAAAAAUCCCAUCUGAACUUUAAACAAAAUAAACACAUUACAAUUUAUUCUGUAUGAUUUUGCAAUGCAACUCUGUGAGUGACAUGUGACAACAAGAGUGGCCCCAAUGAAUAAAACAAUCUUUUCAACACAGUUCAGUCAUCGUCUGUCGAGACACUUUACGGACAGGAAUUCCAUCAGUCACUUUAUUAAGCAAAACUGUUUGUAACCACACCAAAAACAUGAGUAAAAAAAACUUAUCUAUAAAAACUGGUAAUUUUCUGCCAUACAAACCAGGCUUAAACCAACUUUGUUAUCCGUCGUUUCAACAGAAGCCGCUCGCUCGGUCACCUGCACCAACACACGCACUCAUGGCACUUAGCCAGUGCUGCGUUUAUGGCCACACAAAAAGUCGGACAACCCCAACGCCACACAAUGUGUAAAUGCCAGGUUGUAGCACUCUGACUCCACAAUCAGAUGUGUGCUUAUUUUACUGCCAUUUAUUAAGAAUGUUAAUCUAAGGAUAUUAUUCUUGAAAUAUUGUCACUAGAUUUCAUAAAUGCUAAUUAAAAGAUGUAUUUUACAGACAGAAAGUUACAGGAACUAAAUGUAAUCUCUGAAAGGGGUAACAUUUCUUUUAAAGGCAGGACCCGCAGCCAGACAUACAAUACUAGCACAUAGGUCAUGAAAAACAUGUUUUUUUGUUAUUGUCAUUGUAAGAGGGAAAAAUCAGUUAUAUCAGAAAAUAAUUUUAAUAAAACAUUUAAAUUGUUGUCAGGUUUGGGACAGGUGUGACGCUGGUGUGGCCACAGUGUGCACGUCUGAUGUUGCUCACAUGUGCUCCACUGAAUGCACAGGGAGUUUGUGCGUUUGCUCACACACAUGAAAAAUUAGAGGGAACAUUGCUGCCAAGUAUUUCUUUACAGAAAUUAAAGGUAAAGCCGUGUGCUUAAUUUGUGGUACACAUGUUGCUGUGUUUAAAGAAUAUCAUUUGAAUCGCCACUACAUGACGAAGCACGACGAAAAAUACCGGAAUCUGUCCAAUGACGCGCGCGCAAGCGAGGCUGAUGCGUUGAUGGUAAAACUGCAAACCCAACAAAGGACUUUUUGCCAAAUUUCACACCCCCAGAAUGCAGCCGUCAGGACAAGUUUUGUCAUUUCUCACAAAAUCGCCAGAAAAAGUAAGGCGUUUUCUGACGGAGAGUUUAUUAAGGAGUGCUUAUUGGACUAUGUUGCGCUGAUAUGCCCUGAAAGUUGGAGCUUCAGCUGAAGAACAGAAUGGCCGACUUUGACUGUUUUUCGCUUGCUUUGGAUGAGAGCUGGUUGAUGUGCGUGACACCGCCCAGCUGCUCAUCUUCUUACGUGGGAUAACUGCAGACUUUCAUAUCACGGAAGAGAUGGCAGCCAUGCAGUCAAUUAAAAGGGAGAACCACAGGUAAUGACUUGUUCACAUACUGUAGGUAAAUGUGUGUUUGGACUGAAAUGGGACAAGCUGGCAGGUGUGACAACAGAUGGUUGUCCAAAUCUGACGGGGAAAAAUGUUGGACUUUUAAAGAGGAUGCAGGAUAAACUUUAAAUUAACCCUGUGCAGAAAUUGACAUUUUUGCAUUGUAUUAUACAUCAGGAAGUGUAGUGUAAGACAGUGUUAAAAAUAAAACCAUCUAAAGCAAUCUGCUUUUAGUAUAAAGUUAGGUUAAAUGAAGUAUUAUUUAUUUAUCUUACAGUAUAUCAAAAAGUAAUAUUGAGCAAAAUUUAAUUGAAAUAUUGUCGAUGUGGCCCUCCAGCAGUGCUCGGGUUGCUCAUGCAGCCCCCGGUAAAAAUUAAUUGCCCACCCCCGACUUACACAUUAACUUUGUUGACAUGAUUAUAAGUGUUUACAAACAUUGCCUGAAUAACAAAGUCCAAUACAAGGUAGGAUUUAUUGCAUCAGCAUUUCCUCAUUGGCUGGACGACGGCUCCGCCCUUGCAUCUUCUAAGGAUCUCAACCUGGUGGGAACACAGACAAUCUUUUAGAUCAGCUCAAGUUAAACGGCGUUAAAAGAAGUCACACUGACCGCUGGUGGUGUUGGUCGCAGAAGUCGGACAGUCUCUUUAUCUCCGUCUGGAAAAAACCCUAAGACAAGGAAUCAGCACCUCAGGAAUGAUAAUGAUAACGAUGUAGUCAAAUGGUGCUCGGAUUAUUACUAGAAUCUGAGAGCACAUGUUGUUAAGGUUGGUCGAGUUUUCCUCCAAACACUUGAGCUGGUCUGCGAUGGAAUUUUCAAAGCUCUGCAUCAGAAUCAACCUAAAAUAUAUCACACAUGAGGUCCAUCAUUAUGCAAAAUUGACUUGUAAAUGCUGCGAUUAGGUGGUGACUUGUCCAGGGUGUACCCCGCCUUCCGCCCGAAUGCAGCUGAGAUAGGCUCCAGCACCCCCCGCGACCCCAAAACGGUCAAGCGGUAGAAAAUGGAUGGAUGGAUGGACUUUUAAAUGAUCUAACAGUACAGUGGGUCUGGGUUUUGCCUCAUCCCUCAAAGCUUCGAAGAAUUCACUAGCACCCUGACAAGUCAGAAAGAGAAAUAGAUACAUUAUCUGCUCAGAUGCUACCUGGUGGAUGUUUGAGCACACUGGAUAGUCCCACUCCUUAUACUUCAGUCACACGCCAGAUAAGGCAAAAAUACAACUUUACCUACUGUAUGUGUCCUUAGAGCACCAAACAUGAUUAAACUACUUCUGUAAGCUUAACUGCACAUGUUAAAAUGCAGCCUGUUUGUCUGCUAACACGCCAUCAAUCAUCUGCAGACGUGGGAGUUGUGAGUUUGAGCAUUUCAGAAUUAGUUUUAUUGGCCAAGUAUGUUUAAGACACAAUGAAUAAGACUUGGUACUGUGCUUUCUUUGCUCAAGGCGAGAAAGAGAAAAACGUAACAAGAUUUAGUUUUACUUUGGUAAAUAUGCUAACCUAGUUUGACGUUGCUGUUAAAAUGUGAGUGUAAUGUUAGCAUAUACCUCACCUAGCUAUGUUAGUGUCACCAACAUUCAUGUCCCCCUGUUCCACGCCUUAUGUAAAACGUGACAUCUAUCACGUUGGACAGAGUUACAGUGUAUGUAAGAAGUGGAUAAAGUAAACAGUGCUCCUUGGAGACCCUGUUGGCCAAUCAGCUCAUUAGCAUAAAGCUACAUAUACACAAAACUGUUUCCAGUAAGGCUGCAAGACUAAAAGCAUUUUAAAAUAGUCUUAAUUUAAGUAUUGAAACUAGAUUUUGGACACUUCCAGUACACUAUUGUGGGACCUUUGAGACAUCUUCAAAAUUGGUGAAGUACACAAUGAUAUAUUUGUGUC